UUUUAGCCGCGAUUGAAACGGCAUCCUUUUUUGUUAUUGCGUUGCCGAACAUUUUCUACUGAUAACUUUACGUUGUUCGCAAUGACAAAAAAGAUAGAGUGGAAAGCGCGACGGGUU
rnacentral:sRNA from 2 species